rnacentral:rRNA from 1 species
AUUGAACGCUGGCGGAAUGCUUUACACAUGCAAGUCGAGCGGCAGCGCGGGGCAACCUGGCGGCGAGCGGCGAACGGGUGAGUAAUGCAUCGGAACAUGUCCAUUCGUGGGGGAGUAGCCCGGCCGAAAGACCGGAUUAAUACCGCAUACGCCCUCGAGGGGGAAAGGUAGGGGACCGCGAAGGCCUCACGCGAUUGGGUUGGCCGGAUGUCCGAUUAGCUAGUUGGCGGGGUAAAGGCCCACCAAGGCGAUGAUCGGUAGCUGGUCUGAGAGGAUGAUCAGCCACACUGGGACUGAGACACGGCCCAGACUCCUACGGGAGGCAGCAGUGGGGAAUUUUGGACAA